rnacentral:rRNA from 1 species
AACGUAGGAGGCAAGCGUUAUCCGGAGUUACUGGGCGUAAAGCGUGGGUAGGUGGUUUUGCAAGUUUGGUGUGAAAGCGCCCGGCUUAACCGGGCGAGUGCAUUGAAGACUGCAAGGCUAGAGGGUGGUAGAGGGGCGUAGAAUUCCGGGUGUAGCGGUGAAAUGUGUAGAGAUCCGGAGGAAUACCAGUGGUGCAGACGGCGCCCUGGGCCAUACCUGACACUGAGCCACGAAAGCGUGGGGAGCGAACGGG